CAGCCGCCACGGGAAUACAGAGGGUGCAAGCGUUAAUCGGAAUUACUGGGCGUAAAGCGCGCGUAGGUGGUUUGUUAAGUUGGAUGUGAAAGCCCCGGGCUCAACCUGGGAACUGCAUCCAAAACUGGCAAGCUAGAGUACGGUAGAGGGUGGUGGAAUUUCCUGUGUAGCGGUGAAAUGCGUAGAUAUAGGAAGGAACACCAGUGGCGAAGGCGACCACCUGGACUGAUACUGACACUGAGGUGCGAAAGCGUGGGGAGCAAACAGGAUUAGAUACCCCUGUAGUCCCUGUCUCUUAUAC
rnacentral:rRNA from 1 species